GUCACUUUGUCGAGCCCAUCCUUGAUCUCUGUGAUGGCGUUCUGCAUGGCCAUGGAUGAAUGACGAAGGCCAUGGAGGUCGUCAUGAUGGCAGCCACGGUGAAAGCUAGGAAAGGAUCGCUUGAAUCUGAUACCAAGAUAUUGUGUGCGUAGAUUGAAUUGGGGUGCUCGACGGGAGGGCGAAGGGCGAGGCCUGCAGCCUCCCUGUCCCAGAGCUUGAAUGAGGAUGGACAUAGAAGGGAGGACUAGAUAUAGAUUUAACUUUCUUGAUUGAUUGAUUCUAAUUGACUAACAACCCUAUCUAACAAAGCCUAACAAACUAACUGAAUACUUCAGAUGGGCUGAGUUCCGUCCGAAGUCCUGGAUAAAUUUAUUAGACGAGUACAUCAGAAUUGGUGUCUCUGAUUAUCCAACUUGUUUUAAAAUGCAUACAAAAUACCCGAAUUAUGUAAUAGUUGUUUCACCCCUAACAUAGGUGAGCAAGUACUGAAUGUGCAGUAGGUUGAUGCAGAUCCUUGGCCUCUUCACCUCUUCAGAUAGGUUUUAUCUACUGUUCCAAGAGGAUAUUAUACGAACUGCCAAUAAAGCUCAACAGUUUGUUGUAAAGUUCAACUUGAAAGUUUUUGAAAUAG
rnacentral:sRNA from 1 species